GUGAAGGAAGGAAGGGGUGACUGGUGAUAGUUAGGGAGGGAGUGACUAGUGACAGAGUGAGGGAGCGGGUGACACAGUGACAGAGAGAGGGAUGGGGUGACUAGUGACAGUCACCCCCUCCCUCUGUCACUAGUCACUCCCUCCCUCUGUUACUAGUCACUCCCUCACUCUGUCACCAGUCAUCCCCUCACUCUGUCACCAGUCACCCCUUCCCUCCCUCACUCU